rnacentral:sRNA from 1 species
GUUUUGCGUUAGGGAUUGAAGUGAAAAUCCUUUUUUUGAAUUUUUCUUCAAAAAAGAUUGCAACGUAAAGCCCGACCCUUG